rnacentral:lncRNA from 1 species
CAACACAAAAUGUUACAACCUCAAACCCUCAAAACCCAAUCGAAUCAAUCACGAAUCCACAACAAAACAUAAUCGGCCAGCAUUACUCAAACCACAAAACCUAACCAAAACUCAAAAGGAACCGGCGAUCUCAAAGAAGAAAAGGAGGCCAGGAUUGAGACAUGGAACUUGUUAAAACUUGUUAAAGGACAGACAAGAAUUGCCUUGGCUUGGGAUUAAGGGGACAUGAUGAGCUGAUUCGUAAGUUGCGUGUUGUAAAACCGAUUAAUCAUGAGGCUAAGAUCUUGAGUCUCGGAUGCUCAAAUGGGAAUCAGGAUUGAUUUUGGGAUAGGCUUAGGGAAAGCGGAUUACAUGAUUUGGUUUACCUGGGCUACGCCACUGUGCCUCAUGCCCUGCAGAUGA